rnacentral:rRNA from 1 species
CUGAUCAGCCAUGCCGCGUGUGUGAAGAAGGCCUUAUGGUUGUAAAGCACUUUAAGCGAGGAGGAGGCUACUCUAGUUAAUACCUAGGGAUAGUGGACGUUACUCGCAGAAUAAGCACCGGCUAACUCUGUGCCAGCAGCCGCGGUAAUACAGAGGGUGCGAGCGUUAAUCGGAUUUACUGGGCGUAAAGCGUGCGUAGGCGGCUUAUUAAGUCGGAUGUGAAAUCCCCGAGCUUAACUUGGGAAUUGCAUUCGAUACUGGUGAGCUAGAGUAUGGGAGAGGAUGGUAGAAUUCCAGGUGUAGCGGUGAAAUGCGUAGAGAUCUGGAGGAAUACCGAUGGCGAAGGCAGCCAUCUGGCCUAAUACUGACGCUGAGGUACGAAAGCAUGGGGAGCAAACAGGAUUAGAUACCCUGGUAGUCCAUGCCGUAAACGAUGUCUACUAGCCGUUGGGGCCUUUGAGGCUUUAGUGGCGCAGCUAACGCGAUAAGUAGACCGCCUGGGGAGUACGGUCGCAAGACUAAAACUCAAAUGAAUUGACGGGGGCCCGCACAAGCGGUGGAGCAUGUGGUUUAAUUCGAUGCAACGCGAAGAACCUUACCUGGCCUUGACAUACUAGAAACUUUCCAGAGAUGGAUUGGUGCCUUCGGGAAUCUAGAUACAGGUGCUGCAUGGCUGUCGUCAGCUCGUGUCGUGAGAUGUUGGGUUAAGUCCCGCAACGAGCGCAACCCUUUUCCUUACUUGCCAGCAUUUCGGAUGGGAACUUUAAGGAUACUGCCAGUGACAAACUGGAGGAAGGCGGGGACGACGUCAAGUCAUCAU